GACAGAGGGUGCAAACGUUGUUCGGAAUUACUGGGCGUAAAGCGCGUGUAGGCGGCCCUGCAAGUCGGGUGUGAAAUCCCACGGCUCAACCGUGGAAGUGCACUCGAAACUGCAGGGCUAGAGUCCUGGAGAGGAAGGUGGAAUGCUUGGUGUAGAGGUGAAAUUCGUAGAUAUCAAGCGGAACACCGGUGGCGAAGGCGGCCUUCUGGACAGUGACUGACGCUGAGACGGCGAAAGCGUGGGUAGCAAACAGG
rnacentral:rRNA from 1 species